rnacentral:rRNA from 1 species
CAGCAGCCACGGUAACACGAAGGGUGCAAGCGUUAAUCGGAAUUACUGGGCGUAAAGCGCGCGUAGGUGGUUUGGUAAGAUGGAUGUGAAAUCCCCGGGCUCAACCUGGGAACUGCAUCCAUAACUGCCUGACUAGAGUACGGUAGAGGGUGGUGUAAUUUCCUGUGUAGCGGUGAAAUGCGUAGAUAUAGGAAGGAACACCAGUGGCGAAGGCGACCACCUGGACUGAUACUGACACUGAGGUGCGAAAGCGUGGGGAGCAAACAGGAUUAGAUACCCCAGUAGUCCCUGUCUCUUAUAC